rnacentral:rRNA from 1 species
UCCAGACUCCUACGGGAGGCAGCAGUGGGGAAUAUUGCACAAUGGGGGAAACCCUGAUGCAGCGACGCCGCGUGAGUGAAGAAGUGUUUCGGUAUGUAAAGCUCUAUCAGCAGGGAAGAAAAUGACGGUACCUGAUUAAGAAGCCCCGGCUAACUACGUGCCAGCAGCCGCGGUAAUACGUAGGGGGCAAGCGUUAUCCGGAUUUACUGGGUGUAAAGGGAGCGUAGACGGCAGCGCAAGUCUGAAGUGAAAUGCCGGGGCUUAACCCCGGAACUGCUUUGGAAACUGUGCAGCUAGAGUGCAGGAGAGGUAAGUGGAAUUCCUAGUGUAGCGGUGAAAUACGUAGAUAUUAGGAGGAACACCAGUGGCGAAGGCGGCUUACUGGACUGUAACUGACGUUGAGGCUCGAAAGCGUGGGGAGCAAACAGGAUUAGAUACCCCCGUA